rnacentral:rRNA from 1 species
AGUGGGGAAUAUUGCACAAUGGGCGCAAGCCUGAUGCAGCCAUGCCGCGUGUGUGAAGAAGGCCUUCGGGUUGUAAAGCACUUUCAGCGAGGAGGAAAGGUUAACGGUUAAUACCCGUUAGCUGUGACGUUACUCGCAGAAGAAGCACCGGCUAACUCCGUGCCAGCAGCCGCGGUAAUACGGAGGGUGCAAGCGUUAAUCGGAAUUACUGGGCGUAAAGCGUGCGUAGGCGGUUGCUUAAGUUGGAUGUGAAAGCCCCGGGCUCAACCUGGGAACUGCAUCCAAAACUGGGCAACUAGAGUACGAGAGAGGAGUGUGGAAUUUCCUGUGUAGCGGCGAAAUGCGUAGAUAUAGGAAGGAACACCAGUGGCGAAGGCGACACUCUGGCUCGAUACUGACGCUGAGGUACGAAAGCGCGGGGAGCAAACAGGAUUAGAUACCCUGGUAGUCCACGCCGUAAACGAUGUCUACUAGCCGUUGGGCUCCUUGAGAGCUUGGUGGCGCAGCUAACGCAAUAAGUAGACCGCCUGGGGAGUACGGCCGCAAGGUUA